GACAGAGGUGCCAAGCGUUAGGCGGAAUCACUGGGCUUAAAGCGUGUGUAGGUGGAUUUGUAAGUACCUUGUGAAAUCCCAUGGCUCAACCAUGGAACUGCUCGGUAUACUGCGAAUCUUGAGCCACUUAGGGGCUACCGGAACAAAUGGUGGAGCGGUGAAAAUGCGUAGAUAUCAUUUGGAACGCCAAUGGUGAAAACAGGUAGCUGGGAGUGAUGCUGACACUGAGACACGAAAGCCAGGGGAGCGAACGGG
rnacentral:rRNA from 1 species